GACGAACGCUGGCGGCGUGCCUAAUACAUGCAAGUCGAACGCUUCUUUCCUCCCGAUUGCUUUCACUCAAUUGGAAAGAGGAGUGGCGGACGGGUUAGUAACACGUGGGUAACCUACCCAUCAGAUGGGGAUAACACUUGGAAACAGGUGCUAAUACCGCAUAACAGUUUAUGCCGCAUGGCAUAAGAGUGAAAGGCUCUUUCGGGUGUCGCUGAUGGAUGGACCCGCUGUGCAUUAGCUAGUUGGUGGGGUAACGGCUCACCAAGGCCACGAUGCAUAGCCGACCUGAGAGGGUGAUCGGCCACAUUGGGCCUGAGAAACGGCCCAGACUCCUACGGGAGGCAGCAGUAGGGAAUCUUCGGCAAUGGACGAAAGUCUGACCGAGCAACGCCGCGUGAGUAAAGAAGGUUUUCGGAUCGUAAAACUCUGUUGUUAGAGAAGAACAAGGACGUUAGUAACUGAACGUCCCCUGACGGUAUCUAACCAGAAGCCACGGCUAACUACGUG
rnacentral:rRNA from 1 species